rnacentral:rRNA from 1 species
UACGGAGGGUGCGAGCGUUGUCCGGCAUUACUGGGCGUAAAGGGCGCGUAGGCGGCCUGAUAAGUAGGGGGUGAAAUCUCACGGCUCAACCGGGAGGCUGCCUUCUAGACUGUCAGGCUUGAGCACGGUAGAGGCAGAUGGAAUUCCCGGUGUAGCGGUGGAAUGCGUAGAGAUCGGGAAGAACACCAGUGGCGAAGGCGGCUACCUGGCUUAAUACUGACACUGAGGCACGAAAGCGUGGGGAGCAAACAGG